GUAGGGAAAUGUAGCAUCUCGUUAUGUAUGUAUCAUUCCGCUACAAGAUGGGGGCUUUAUAGGUCGGUCCGGGGUAGCCGGAUAGGUGGCCCAAAGUACAUUACUGCCCCCAGUCAGCGACCACAUUUUUACAACAUGUACUGUACAACGAGGUAAUUACAGUGCCGCAGCCCCCACUAGUUACGUGUACACACAAUUAUACCCACUGAUUACAUUGACAGGUGGGCCCCACAUAGCAUCAUUGCGUGUCCACGACCAAGAUAGGUACGUCUUCUGCAUUCGCUGCCUUCGUCCAGACGAGCCUUCGCAUCUCCUACCGGCCCUUAUCGAGAUGGCUCAUUUAGAAGGCUUCAGUUCCGGACAUCUCGUCCCUUGUAGUGGUCGAGGACUCCCGAGCCCUCGUCUUCACUGACCGAUGGCCGAUGUCAAUGAAGUCAUUGUCAAGUGAAUUCUCUGGUCAGCUACAGUGCUACAGUUAGUUGAGGUGGUUGGCGAAGACUUCAUGUUUCUGUCCAAAGGCCUGUUCGACAUUCAUCCCAACAAUACCCCUCGAGGGACCGAUUCAUCCUGAUGGGCCAAUCCUAAAGUAUUUUCCUAAAAAAGGGACGAAUGUCACAAUUGUACAUCUAGUGAACCGCCUUAACGGGGCCACUGGAUGUGACUGUUGGAAAAUCGAGGCUACAAUGCUUGUGUGGUAGAGUGGAUAAAUUGCUGCUAGCAACAACACUUUUCUUUGCUGCACGCCUUUUUCAAUGUAGUCGUUGCUCCUCCACCGUCGUUGCUCGAUCGCCACCAUCCUAUUGAUGCGCUACCGACGACGAGACUAGCGUUGAGCUCCGCACUGGCCUGUGUCAAGACUAAUGUUCACCGUCGGCACUAAUAUGCCGCCGUGCACCCGUUCCCAAUGGUGAUAGCUAGGCAAUGGCAUCACCGCAAUCGGCAUAGAGUAGUGGGGGUGCUGACGCCACUCGAUGGCCGGGUCGGGUAUCGCCUCAUCUUCAGGUUGGGGAAGUCGCUCUGGUGGACCGGGCCGUUCAAAUUACAAUCUGGGCCGGUUGAAGACUUCUUAGCAAUGUGUGAAAGAGAUGGAGUCGUUGGGAUAUUUUAAUUUUGGUUUUGGUCAGGCUAUCGGAGCGAACACCACUCCCGAGCCGAAGGCGAGGUCCUUGUGUCACACCCGGAUUUACGGGCGCGAAUCAAAUGUGUGCUAGGAACAAGUCUCACACAUAUGAUGACUCAUGGUACAGAAAUGAAUGUCACAUCUGAAAGGGAAAUGGUCUCAACAUUUCCUAUAAUCAAUUUUGGUGUUUGACGACCAUCACAAACCUUAUGGACUAACCAGUUUGCCUAGUUGAUCAUUUCUUAGGUGCAUAAGUCCAUCUUCAACUAUUCUAAAAUCGACUGUCCGGAAUACCGUAGAUUAUUCCGGACAGGAGAAGCUUUUUGGAAAAACACCUAAGCACGGACCGUCCGGGCCCUUGCGGUGGACCGUCCGCGACACCAAGAUGACCCACGGAUAGGAACACUGCAAAAACACAUGCAUACACUACGGACCGUCCGAUGGAGAAGCGAGCUUCGUCCGAGACCAAGCUCGGACCGUCCGGCCUCAGGCGCGGACCGUCCGGUCGGUGAAAAACCAGAAAACCCCGAAGGUGACGGGUUCGGUAAAAUGUAUUUUUAGCGUCCUCGCGGACCGUCCGGGGUGCACGACCGGACCGUCCGCGACUGCUUUACAUUCAAUACAAGAGCUAGCAAUCCACUCCAAGACACACUCAAAGCUUUCAACCUCUCAAAGUUUCAUAAUUUAGACAAGUGAUCAUUAGUGACUUGAGAGAGUGUGACCCGUAUGUUAUUUGUCGCUCUUGUUGCUUGGUUUUCACAAUCGUGCUUUCUUCAUCUCUUUCUCAACCUUCUAAGUGAAUUGUAAAGCAAGCAAGACACACCAAAUUGUGUGGUGAUCCUUGAGGGGUCUUAGUGACCCGUGAGAUUAAGAAGAAGCACUCAACCGAUUAAGUGACCGAUUGAGAGAGGGAAAGGGUUGAAAUAGACCCGGCCUCUAUGGCCUCCUCAACAGGACUAGGUUCUUUGGAACCGAACCUCGGUAAAACAAAUCAUCGUGUUCACUUGUUAAUCUUCACUUGAUUUGUUUUUCCCUCUCUAAAAGUUCCCUUGCUCAUACUGAUUUAAGUUUGCUCCUAAAGGUCAUCCGCAUUGAUUGAGCAACUCUAAGCAAGGAGAACUAUCUUUCGCACUCGUAUUUAAUUCUAACGCUAACCCCGGCCUUAGUGCAAGUUUAAGUUUAUAAAUUUUAGGUUUCACCUAUUCACCCCCUCUAGGCGACUUUUAAUUAGUAUCGGAGCCAGUGCUUCAUUAAGAGUCUAACCAACUCAAGGUGAUGUCUGGAGAUCACGCCAAGAGGGAGAUCAUGACAGGCGAAAAGGCCGCAAGCUCGGGGAGGACUCUUUCAAGGGAGUUCGGUAACAAGCAUAAGGAGAAAUCCUCUUCCUCCAUCAAGUCGCAUCGGAGAGGUGACAAGAAGAAGAAGAUGAAGAAGGUGGUCUACUACGAGACCGACUCUUCGUCACCCUCCACAUCAAGCUCCGAAUAGUGGAUGGUAGAAAGAUAUGACAGAGCCACUGCCAUUUAACAUGGAAGAAAAGCCCCAUAUGCAUUCCAUUCCCUGAAAGAUUUCUAAAGAUCUCACAGAAAGAAAUAAGGUCGUGAAUCCAUAACACCACCUGGUUGUAUCCUUAGGCUUGUCUACAGUGGGAAAAAAAUUUGGAGCUAGUCAUCAGCAAGAAAGCAAGACCAUUCCUCAAACAAGAUUGCUAUUCCAACCUAAGAACUGAAAAUUGUCGUGGUGUCAUGGAUGAUGAAUACAUUAGUACAAACAUUAUUACUAGAUGCAUGAUAUAGCAACAAACAGUGUCGUAUAAAUUGCAGUUAUUUAAUUUACCACAUAUCACUUCACUCAAAUGCAAAAUGUAGAGGUAGCAAUGUAUAUGCGCACACGCAUAAUGGAGACAAGGUUGUAACUACAACUGUAUUUUCAGUAUUUGUAAUGCUAGUUGUAAAUAUUGUAAAUUGAAAGUAGCGCAAACCAAUUAUGAUUCAGUUCUAAUAAAUAGACUGUAAAAACUUGAUGGCUUGAUAUACUAUUAAAAUUAUAAUAGGUAAGCGUAAUUAUUUCACUAUGUCCUGGUUACUGAAUUAACUUUGUCACCCAAUUUAUAUAUGUAAUGAAAUAAAACUCAUGAUCAAACCUUUUUCAUCAGAAUUGUAGGUCCUCCCUUCUUAUAUUAUCACUGAUGGACUCCUUACAUAGUUGAUCAGGUCAUAAAUUUUGCUUGCCGUAGAACAUUCAAGACUGGAUCAAAAACAAAACACAAAGUGUACAUGUAGAUAACCCCAAUUUGUCUAAUUUGUGAGACAUAAAGCUUACUGGACAUAUGCUACAGUAAAUAAUGCAGAAGAAAUAGAAUGUCAAGACAAAAUAUGGUUCAACAGCAAUCCUAGUCUUGUACCAAGAUUUCGGCUUAUUUGCAAAGGAGAUACGAGAUUUGCAAGCACAACUAAAGGUAAGAUUUAUUCAAAAAAUCUGUUUGAUUUAUCUAGUAUACAACUAGAAACACAAAUAAGUCUAGUAUGCAACUAGAAGACAUAUUAUGAAAUAAAUAAGUAGUGUUACAUGAACAUCCUUUUUGCCAGGGUUUGUAAUUGGUUGCAAAUUACAGGACUACAUACAAUUGAAACCCGAGCUAAGCUUUGACAGAUAAAAUACCAGCAACUAACAUGGUAGAGGUAAAAAUAACUUUUGGAGUAUCAAAAAGACUACAAGCUAGCGGCAACAAAAAAUGGGUUACUAACAUCUCUGUAACACUUGCUACAUAGGUGUUAGUUAGCCAUACAAAUUUCUAAAAUUCUAAAAAUAAAUGUAAAAUCUAGUAAUUAAAAUUAGAGGAAUUCUAUCUUCUAACAAAGGAAACAAUAACAAACUAAGUAAAUCUAAAGCGGGCUACAAAAAACUAAUUGAAAUGACCUUAAACAGUGUCCCGGUUCGCACAGAAAAUAUUCCUAGCUCUAAGUUCACCAAAAUAAAGGAACAUGCCAAGUCCAAGACACAGAUUAGUUUCAUUGUGAUGCCCUCUAUACAAAAAGGAUUUCCAAUUGAUACAAUGCCAACUCGUAAAUUUCGCAAGGAAAAGUUGGGACCAUGUUUGACAAGGCACGUCAGAUCUUUCAGUAAACCAUAUCAAGGAAAGCUGGCAGAUCUGGACUAGGCAAGUAAAUCCCCUUUAUAUUAGCUUUCUUGUCAUGAAAAUUUCCACACAAUAACCACGCAUGGACCUGGCCACAAAUGAAUUCCAGUCAGUGUUAUGAUCCAAGCUGAGCCAUUACCUGCUAGCAUAUCUCCCCACUAGGACUCCCAACAAAGCAAAGUUGAACCUGUUCUUUAAUUCAAUACCUAGAGACUUGAAGACUCCUAACACGAAGAAGCUCGAUCUAUCCAACAAGACAAGAAAAAAACGUAAACAAAAAGCAACCAUACAGAGUGAAUGUGCAGGAUCUACUUACCACGAUGCUGAUGAACACGACCUUCUCGUUCUCGCUGCAUCAGGGGCCCUUCCUCGUCGUCCGCGCAUCGCCAUCGAGCAGCUCAUCACUCCUCCAGCACCCUGCCCCUUCUUGGACCCAGGGCACGACACCAUUCUUGAUGUCUGGGAGGGAGGGAUCGGCGACCACCCCUUGCGUCGUCCGAGGGGGAGAUGAGGUGAAUGGGGAUAGGAGGAUGAGUGGCGGCGAGGGCGUGCAUGGAGACAGCGAGGGCGGGUUCUGCGAUGCGUGCGGAGGAAUGGCGACGACGGAUGUGGGAUGGAGAGCGGUUAGGUUUUUGUGGCUG
rnacentral:lncRNA from 1 species